rnacentral:rRNA from 1 species
CGACGAGUGGCGAACGGGUGAGUAAUACAUCGGAACGUGUCCGCUCGUGGGGGACAACCAGCCGAAAGGUUGGCUAAUACCGCAUGAGUUCUACGGAAGAAAGAGGGGGACCCGCAAGGGCCUCUCGCGAGCGGAGCGGCCGAUGACUGAUUAGCCGGUUGGUGAGGUAACGGCUCACCAAAGCAACGAUCAGUAGCUGGUCUGAGAGGACGACCAGCCACACUGGGACUGAGACACGGCCCAGACUCCUACGGGAGGCAGCAGUGGGGAAUUUUGGACAAUGGGCGCAAGCCUGAUCCAGCUAUUCCGCGUGUGGGAUGAAGGCCCUCGGGUUGUAAACCACUUUUGUAGAGAACGAAAAGACACCUUCGAAUAAAGGGUGUUGCUGACGGUACUCUAAGAAUAAGCACCGGCUAACUACGUGCCAGCAGCCGCGGUAAUACGUAGGGUGCGAGCGUUAAUCGGAAUUACUGGGCGUAAAGGGUGCGCAGGCGGUUGAGUAAGACAGAUGUGAAAUCCCCGAGCUUAACUCGGGAAUGGCAUAUGUGACUGCUCGACUAGAGUGUGUCAGAGGGAGGUGGAAUUCCACGUGUAGCAGUGAAAUGCGUAGAUAUGUGGAAGAACACCGAUGGCGAAGGCAGCCUCCUGGGACAUAACUGACGCUCAGGCACGAAAGCGUGGGGAGCAAACAGGAUUAGAUACCCUGGUAGUCCACGCCCUAAACGAUGUUAACUAGUUGUUGGGAAGUAAAAUUCUCAGUAACGCAGCCAACGCGAGAAGUUAACCGCCUGGGAAGUACGGUCGCAAGACUAAAACUCAAAGGAAUUGACGGGGACCCGCACAA